GGCGACGUAGCUCAGAUGGUUAGAGCAUGCGGCUCAUAUCCGCAGUGUCCGGGGUUCGAUUCCCUGCGUCGCUACCA
rnacentral:tRNA from 2 species